GGAGAGAUGGCAGAGCUGGUCGAACGCGCUCCCCUGCUAAGGGAGUAUCUGGGCUUAAACCUGGAUCGAGGGUUCAAAUCCCUCUCUCUCCGCCA
rnacentral:tRNA from 1 species